AGCAGCCGCGGUAACUCCAGCUCCAAUAGCGUAUAUUAAAGUUGUUGCAGUUAAAAAGCUCGUAGUCGAAUUUCGGGAUUGACACAUCGGUCGUGCCUUAAGGGGUAUGAACUGGUGUAGUCAAUUUCUCACCUUCUGGAGAACCGCGAUGCCCUUAAUUGGGUGUCGCGGGGAACCAGGACCUUUACUUUGAAAAAAUUAGAGUGUUUAAAGCAGGCAUUUUGCUUGAAUACAUUAGCAUGGAAUAAUAAAAUAGGACGGCAUGAUUCUAUUUUGUUGGUUUCUAGGAUCACCGUAAUGAUUAAUAGGGAUAGUUGGGGGCAUUAGUAUUCAAUUGUCAGAGGUGAAAUUCUUGGAUUUAUUGAAGACUAACUACUGCGAAAGCAUUUGCCAAGGAUGUUUUCAUUAAUCAAGAACGAAAGUUAGGGGAUCGAAGACGAUCAGAUACCG
rnacentral:rRNA from 1 species